AGGAACCUGGUCCCAGGAACCCCAGCCCCAGGGCUGGCAGGGGAGGGUAUACGCAGGCAGCCACCCCUGCCAGCCUUGGGACGGUGGUUUCCCAGAAGCCCCAGAGCAAG
ensembl:miRNA gga-mir-6643 gga-mir-6643